rnacentral:pre_miRNA from 1 species
AUUGCCACUGCUUACCAAUCUCCACCAGAGAUCAACCUGAUUGGUCUGUGUUGCCAGUGAACUCACAGUGUGCCAAGUUGUGGUAGAUAGGUGGUCACACA